UCCGGUGUGGUGUAUCGGUAACAUAUCCGCCUCUCAUAUUGCCUGGUCAGGUGUGUGACGCGGUUGCGCGGGGUUCGAUUCCCCGCACCGGAA